CUAGAAAACCGUGGGCAAGUCCGAAGCCGAAUGGAUUACGAGCUUGCUCUUAUAGAGGUUAGCGGCGGAAGGGAAAAGAAGGACGUGGGUAACCUGCCCAUAAUACUGGGAUAAUUCCGGGAAACCGGGGCUAAUACCGGAUAAUAUUUUGAACCGCAUGGUUCGAAAUUGAAAGGCGGCUUCGGCUGUCACUUAUGGAUGGACCCGCGUCGCAUUAGCUAGUUGGUGAGGUAACGGCUCACCAAGGCAACGAUGCGUAGCCUACCUGAAAGGGUGAACGGCCACACUGGGACUGAAACACGGCCCAAACUCCUACGGGAGGCAGCAGUAGGGAAUCUUCCGCAAUGGACGAAAGUCUGACGGAACAACGCCGCGUGAGUGAUGAAGGCUUUCGGGUCGUAAAACUCUGUUGUUAGGGAAUAACAAUUGCUAUUUGAAUAUUCUGGUUCCUUGACGGUACCUAACCAGAAAGCCACGGCUAAA
rnacentral:rRNA from 1 species